GCACUGGUGGUAUAGUGGUGAACGUAGCUGCCCUCCAAGCAGUAGACCUGGGUUUGAUUCCUAGCCAGUGCA
rnacentral:tRNA from 1 species